CAUGCAAGUCGAACGCCCCGCAAGGGGAGUGGCAGACGGGUGAGUAACGCGUGGGAAUCUACCCAUCUCUACGGAAUAACUCAGGGAAACUUGUGCUAAUACCGUAUACGCCCUUCGGGGGAAAGAUUUAUCGGAGAUGGAUGAGCCCGCGUUGGAUUAGCUAGUUGGUGGGGUAAAGGCCUACCAAGGCGACGAUCCAUAGCUGGUCUGAGAGGAUGAUCAGCCACAUUGGGACUGAGACACGGCCCAAACUCCUACGGGAGGCAGCAGUGGGGAAUAUUGGACAAUGGGCGCAAGCCUGAUCCAGCCAUGCCGCGUGAGUGAUGAAGGCCCUAGGGUUGUAAAGCUCUUUCACCGGUGAAGAUAAUGACGGUAACCGGAGAAGAAGCCCCGGCUAACUUCGUGCCAGCAGCCGCGGUAAUACGAAGGGGGCUAGCGUUGUUCGGAAUUACUGGGCGUAAAGCGCACGUAAGCGGGUAUUUAAGUCAGGGGUGAAAUCCC
rnacentral:rRNA from 1 species